GACGAACGCUGGCGGCGUGCUUAACACAUGCAAGUCGAACGAAGAGCGAUGGAAGCUUGCUUCUAUCAAUCUUAGUGGCGCACGGGUGAGUAACGCGUAAUCAACCUGCCCUUCAGAGGGGGACAACAGUUGGAAACGACUGCUAAUACCGCAUACGAUCUAACCUCGGCAUCGAGGAAAGAUGAAAGGUGGCCUCUAUGUAUAAGCUAUCACUGAAGGAGGGGAUUGCGUCUGAUUAGCUAGUUGGAGGGGUAACGGCCCACCAAGGCGAUGAUCAGUAGCCGGUCUGAGAGGAUGAACGGCCACAUUGGGACUGAGACACGGCCCAGACUCCUACGGGAGGCAGCAGUGGGGAAUCUUCCGCAAUGGACGAAAGUCUGACGGAGCAACGCCGCGUGAGUGAUGACGGCCUUCGGGUUGUAAAGCUCUGUUAAUCGGGACGAAAGGCCUUCUUGCGAAUAGGGAGAAGGAUUGACGGUACCGGAAUAGAAAGCCACGGCUAACUACGUG
rnacentral:rRNA from 1 species